CCAGACUCCUACGGGAGGCAGCAGUGAGGAAUAUUGGUCAAUGGGCGAGAGCCUGAACCAGCCAAGUCGCGUGAAGGAUGACGGCCCUACGGGUUGUAAACUUCUUUUGUCAGGGAGCAAUUGGGUCCACGCGUGGGCUUAGCGAGAGUACCUGAAGAAAAAGCAUCGGCUAACUCCGUGCCAGCAGCCGCGGUAAUACGGAAGGUCCGGGCGUUAUCCGGAUUUAUUGGGUUUAAAGGGAGCGUAGGCCGGCUUUUAAGUCAGCUGUGAAAGUCCGCGGCUCAACCGUGGAAUUGCAGUUGAAACUGGAGGCCUUGAGUGCACACAGGGAUGCCGGAAUUCAUGGUGUAGCGGUGAAAUGCUUAGAUAUCAUGAAGAACUCCGAGCGCGAAGGCAAGUGUCCGGGGUGCAACUGACGCUGAGGCUCGAAAGUGCGGGUAUCAAACAGGAUUAGAUACCCUCGUAC
rnacentral:rRNA from 1 species